GGCUCAGUGGUGUAAUGGUUGCACUUCUCUAUCUUGUGCUCAAGGAUCAUGAAGCACGGGGAAAGUCCCGGUUCAAAUCCGGGCUGAGCCG